GUUGUAUGGUUAAGUGACUAAGCGUACACGGUGGAUGCCUUGGCAGUCAGAGGCGAUGAAAGACGUAGUAACUUGCGAUAAGCCCAGAUUAGGUAGUAACAACCAUUUGAGUCUGGGAUUUCUGAAUGGGGAAACCCACGUGCAUAAGCACGUAUCCUUACCUGAAUACAUAGGGUAAGGAGGCGAACCGGGGGAACUGAAACAUCUAAGUACCCCGAGGAAAAGAAAUCAACCGAGAUUCCGAAAGUAGCGGCGAGCGAAAUUGGACUAGCCCUUAAGCUUUACACGCGUUAGACGAACGGUCUGGAAAGUCCGACGAUACAGGGUGAUAGUCCCGUAGUUGACGACGUGUGUUCAGUGAAAUCGAGUAGGGCGGGACACGUGAUAUCCUGUCUGAAUAUGGGGGGACCAUCCUCCAAGGCUAAAUACUACUGACUGACCGAUAGUGAACCAGUACCGUGAGGGAAAGGCGAAAAGAACCCCUGUGAGGGGAGUGAAAUAGAACCUGAAACCGUGUACGUACAAGCAGUAGGAGCAGGCUUUGUCCUGUGACUGCGUACCUUUUGUAUAAUGGGUCAGCGACUUAUAUUCAGUGGCAAGGUUAACCAUCUAGGGGAGCCGUAGGGAAACCGAGUCUUAACUGGGCGUUCAGUCUCUGGAUAUAGACCCGAAACCAGGUGAUCUAGCCAUGGGCAGGUUGAAGGUUGAGUAACAUCAACUGGAGGACCGAACCGACUAAUGUUGAAAAAUUAGCGGAUGACUUGUGGCUAGGGGUGAAAGGCCAAUCAAACCUGGAGAUAGCUGGUUCUCCCCGAAAGCUAUUUAGGUAGCGCCUCGGACGAAUACUACUGGGGGUAGAGCACUGUUAAGGCUAGGGGGUCAUCCCGACUUACCAACCCUUUGCAAACUCCGAAUACCAGUAAGUACUAUCCGGGAGACACACGGCGGGUGCUAACGUCCGUCGUGGAGAGGGAAACAACCCAGACCGCCAGCUAAGGUCCCAAAUUACUACUAAGUGGGAAACGAUGUGGGAAGGCUCAGACAGCCAGGAUGUUGGCUUAGAAGCAGCCAUCAUUUAAAGAAAGCGUAAUAGCUCACUGGUCGAGUCGGCCUGCGCGGAAGAUGUAACGGGGCUAAGUAGUAAACCGAAGCUGCGGCAAUAUACUUUUGUAUAUUGGGUAGGGGAGCGUUCUGUAAGCGGUUGAAGGUGUGUGGUAACGCAUGCUGGACGUAUCAGAAGUGCGAAUGCUGACAUGAGUAACGAUAAAGGGGGUGAAAAACCUCCUCGCCGGAAGACCAAGGGUUCCUGUCCAACGUUAAUCGGGGCAGGGUAAGUCGACCCCUAAGGCGAGGCCGAAAGGCGUAGUCGAUGGGAAACGGGUU
rnacentral:rRNA from 1 species